rnacentral:rRNA from 1 species
GAUGAACGCUGGCGGCGUGCUUAACACAUGCAAGUCGAACGGAAAGGCUCCUGCUUGCAGGGGUACUCGAGUGGCGAACGGGUGAGUAACACGUGGGUGAUCUGCCCUGCACUUCGGGAUAAGCCUGGGAAACUGGGUCUAAUACCGGAUAGGACGAUGGUUUGGAUGCCAUUGUGGAAAGUUUUUUCGGUAUGGGAUGAGCUCGCGGCCUAUCAGCUUGUUGGUGGGGUAAUGGCCUACCAAGGCGUCGACGGGUAGCCGGCCUGAGAGGGUGUACGGCCACAUUGGGACUGAGAUACGGCCCAGACUCCUACGGGAGGCAGCAGUGGGGAAUAUUGCACAAUGGGCGCAAGCCUGAUGCAGCGACGCCGCGUGGGGGAUGACGGCCUUCGGGUUGUAAACUCCUUUCGCUAGGGACGAAGCGCAAGUGACGGUACCUGGAGAAGAAGCACCGGCUAACUACGUG